GCUGCUGCUGCUGCUGCUGCUCCUGCUCUUUCAGGCUGCCUUCGACUUUCGCAUCGCCUUACAUGAUGGAAGAGUUCGACUUUGAGCUGUGCCAACUGAAUAGACACACGACUGAAUGUCGCCGCACUAGCAAAAGUUACCAGAACGAGCAAGAAGAGAGAGAGAGAGAGAGAGGUAGAGAUUGAGUGAGAGAGGGGGGCGCUGCAACAGGGCUGGCAGCGGAAGGGGAUCUGCUUGGCGUAUGUACAGAUGCCGAGACAAGGACAAGACAUGGCAGUCAACUCUGCAGAAAUGUCUAAAAAAAAAAAAGUUCGUACAAGUUUACUUUCUUUU